AGAGUUUGAUCAUGGCUCAGGACGAACGCUGGCGGCGUGCUUAACACAUGCAAGUCGAGCGGAAAGGCCCUUCGGGGUACUCGAGCGGCGAACGGGUGAGUAACACGUGAGCAAUCUGCCCCUGGCUCUGGGAUAGCUCCGGGAAACCGGAAUUAAUACCGGAUAUGACCAUUUUUGACAUCUUUUUUGGUGGAAAGGGU
rnacentral:rRNA from 1 species